UAUAAGGUUCCAAAAACACAUUUUAUAACAGAUAAAAAUGUACAUUUUUCUCUGAAAAUAUAUAAUAAUAAAAAGAAGACUAGACCCAGGGUUGUUUAAAUAAAGUGACUCAAUAAUCUACAUCUACACAUAAAAACACGUACUCCCAAAGUCCCAUUUUAGAGCUAAGUUUCAUGAAAUCUGUAAUAGGUGAUUUUGUCAUGUGAAUGAGAGAGGGGAGUGGAGGGAAAAGCAAGGGAGAGGGGGGAGGGGAUAAGAGAAAAGAGCAGGAAAAUGCCUCAAUAAGAUAUCACAGUUGGGCAGGAACACAAGAAAAGAGAGUUAUAGGCUAAUCCACUUAGUCCAUACAAUUUGAAGAACAAUUCAAAUAUGAUCUGAGCAAAAAGAUGGCAGUUACAAACUGAAAAACAAAAAUAAGCUAUACCUUUACUCCAAUAGAUACAAUAAAGUAUUCAAAAUGAUUAUUUCCGAGCACAUUCAUGAUUCAAGUAAAAUCUUAGCAAACUCAUUGUAAAGGGGUAAUAACUUUCAUUCAUAAAGGAUGUGUAACACAAGUGAGAGCAACUGGAAAUCGAGCGUGAAAUCCAUCACAGUACGAAGUGGGAGAUAAAUAAAGAGCUCACCUCAAAUAGAUUCAUUUUCUGAAGCACUUGGGACAUUAGAGAGGACUGUGAAGAUUCAGCUGAGGGGACAGAGAGACAACAGCGUCAGAACACCUGGGCUGCCUGACAGUUCCUGCCUUCACCUCCUAAUCACCUCAGCAGCCCAGCCGAGGGGCAACCUCCCUACCUCCUCUCUAACCCCAAACGAGCAAGGGAAGGACCCACUGGAAGUGACGUCUGUUUUCCAGUUUGAAAUGAUCAUGGCUCACUGAGUAAAAAUCAGCUUCUCCAUUAAUUGAAACAAUACAAAAAACUAACAACAGAUGCUUAAAACACCAGACAUGAAUGCAGAAAACAGACAGAGGCAAAGUGUUUACUCCUUGAGUAAGAGAAACCACAGAAGUCCAGAGAAAAAAAAUAUGGGGUGCUUUGAGACAAUUUUCAAAUUGCUUUCUUUUUUUCUUUUAAGUGGAUUACAGUGUCUCAAAAGGGACUCCUGAGAAGAUUCUUCUGAUGACUGGACAGUCUGAAUGCCUUGUUCCACUCCUGGCUCUGUCCCAACCUGGGUGAGCGUGGAGAAGUCACCCACCCUCUCAAACUCAGGACCACCUCACCAUCCUGAGACUCAGAGGUUUCUGUUCUGCGUGUUUAAUGUAGGUGCCCAUACCCAUUAUCAGGAGAGCAUCCUGAGGCCUAUGUAAACCACCCCAUGAAAAGAAGAACGUGUCAUCUACAUUCAGCAGCAGUUAACACUUUUUGGGGGUUAGCACCUGGCACUUUGCUGACUCCUUGUGUGACACCAUAUCUGGAG
rnacentral:lncRNA from 1 species